UACGUAGGGUGCAAGCGUUUAAUCGGAAUUACUGGGCGUAAAGCGUGCGCAGGCGGUUAUGCAAGACAGAUGUGAAAUCCCCGGGCUUAACCUGGGAACUGCAUUUGUGACUGCAAGGCUGGAGUGCGGCAGAGGGGGAUGGAAUUCCGCGUGUAGCAGUGAAAUGCGUAGAUAUGCGGAGGAACACCGAUGGCGAAGGCAAUCCCCUGGGCCUGCACUGACGCUCAUGCACGAAAGCGUGGGGAGCAAACAGG
rnacentral:rRNA from 1 species